AGCGAACGCUGGCGGCAGGCCUAACACAUGCAAGUCGAACGGAUCCUUCGGGAUUAGUGGCGGACGGGUGAGUAACACGUGGGAACGUGCCCUUUGGUUCGGAACAACUCAGGGAAACUUGAGCUAAUACCGGAUGUGCCCUUCGGGGGAAAGAUUUAUCGCUAUUGGAGCGGCCCGGGUCUGAUUAGCUAGUUGGUGAGGUAACGGCCCACCAAGGCGACGAUCAGUAGCUGGUCUGAGAGGAUGAUCAGCCACACUGGGACUGAGACACGGCCCAGACUCCUACGGAAAGGAGGAGUGGGGGAUCUUGCGCAAUGGGGGGAGGCCUGACGCUGCCAGGCCGCGUGAAUGAUGAAGGUCUUGGGAUAGUAAAAUUCUUUCAGCGGGGACGAUAAUGACGGUACCCGCAGAAGAAGCUCCGGCUAACUUCGUG
rnacentral:rRNA from 1 species